CCUACGGGUGGCAGCAGUGGGGAAUAUUGCACAAUGGGGGAAACCCUGAUGCAGCGACGCCGCGUGAGUGAAGAAGCGUUUCGGCGCGUAAAGCUCUGUCAGCGGGGAAGAAACACGGUUCGCGAGAGCCGCGGACGGUACCCGACCAAGAAGCCCCGGCUAACUACGUGCCAGCAGCCGCGGUAAUACGUAGGGGGCAAGCGUUAUCCGGAUUCACUGGGGGGAAAGGGAGCGUAGACGGCGAGACAAGUCUGGAGUGAACGGCCGGGGCCCAACCCCGGGACUGCUCUGGAAACUGCCUGGCUUGAGUACAGGAGAGGUAAGUGGAAUUCCUAGUGUAGCGGUGAAAUGCGUAGAUAUUAGGAGGAACACCAGUGGCGAAGGCGGCUUACUGGACUGUAACUGACGUUGAGGCUCGAAAGCGUGGGGACCAAACAGGAUUAGAUACCCCAGUAGUC
rnacentral:rRNA from 1 species